GCAAUAAUAGUUUAAUAUAAAGAACAUUGGUCUUGUAAGCCAAAAGUGAAUUAGAUAUUCUUAUUGUU
rnacentral:tRNA from 1 species